rnacentral:pre_miRNA from 1 species
UACAUAUGUCACACAUAUGUACACAUAGGUGUGCGUAUGUAUGUGCAUGUACACACAUGCAAACAGAUAGCCUAUGUAUUCCCAG